rnacentral:rRNA from 1 species
GUGGGCCCUCGAAAUCCGUCGGCGGGGGAUUCAGUCGAGAGGUGUGGGCUCGUGCGCCGGUCGUUUCCACGGACCCUUGAAAGGGCCGGGCCGGCGUCGCAGUCUCCACGCGACUCGACGCACUUCCUCCCGCCCCAAGGACGCCGCAGCCGGUUGGGUAGCUGCGCGAGUCGGCCAUAAGGACGGGCACCGGAAGGUGGCCAGUGGCGUUCCCUCGUGUUCGUCGCUGGUCGUUAUCCAGCCCGCCCGUGGCACGACACCCGACCGAGGUCGAUGGGUCCCGGUUAGGACCUUGCCGUCCCCUCCCCUCGUGGUCGAGCGGGCGCGCCGGCAGGCGAUUCCCCUUGCGGUCGUCCCACUCUCCGAGUGGCCGGCCCUCGGGUGGCGCCGUUGGCAUGGAUGCGUCCCGCGUGGGGAUAAUAACGAUGGCUUGCGGCGAGUAGGUCGGUCACCCACCCGACCCGUCUUGAAACACGGACCAAGGAGUCUAACAUGUGCGCGAGUCACGGGGUCUUGUUCAGGCCCAGAGGCGCAAUGAAAGUGAAGGCCGGCCUCGACGCCGGCCGUGUUGGGACUCUCCGCCGUUCUCGAGCGGGGAAGCACCAACGACCCGCCCUAUCCGAUUCAUCGGUUGGGCGGAGUGUGAGCGUACACGUUGGGACCCGAAAGAUGGUGAACUAUGCCUGGGCAGGACGAAGCCAGAGGAAACUCUGGUGGAGGUCCGUAGCGGUUCUGACGUGCAAAUCGAUCGUCAGACCUGGGUAUAGGGGCGAAAGACUAAUCGAACCAUCUA